rnacentral:rRNA from 1 species
GACGUAGGGUGCAAGCGUUGUCCGGAUUUACUGGGCGUAAAGCGUGCGCAGGCGGUUCGUUAAGUCAGAUGUGAAAGCCCCGGGCUCAACCUGGGAACUGCAUUUGAAACUGGCGGGCUUGAGUGUGGCAGAGGGGGGUGGAAUUCCGCGUGUAGCAGUGAAAUGCGUAGAUAUGCGGAGGAACACCGAUGGCGAAGGCAAUCCCCUGGGCCUGCACUGACGCUCAUGCACGAAAGCGUGGGGAGCAAACAGG